CCCACAGCGCCCUCAGGAGUGGAGGGACACCAGAACCCCCCGGCGCCACGUCGGACGUGUGAAGGUGAAGACAGCAAAGGCUCGUGGGAGUCUCGCUUCCCAGGCGGCACCCCCUGGUGCAGAGGUGCACAGCAGCUGCUGCUGAUUUGCCACAGGGCAUGGUGGGAGUCGCGUGACUGUGAGUAUAGUGCCCCCUGCAGGGGAUCCAGAGAGCUACUCCUCAUUGGCCGGAGGGUCUUGCGGGAGUCAGGCGGCCUCCAACAUGGAUCCUGCCACAAGGGUUCCUGGGAGCCAGCCUGGGGUGAAGACGCCCCCUGGUGCUUGCAGAAGUGUCUCCCGAUUGGCCACGGCGCCUCAGGUGGGUCACGUGACCUCCCCGGCAGCACUCCUUGCAGGGAACCCCGGGGAGCAGCAGAGCCCAGCAGGGCCCUGCCCACCAGGGGCGUGUCCAGCGCUGGCUCCUUCCCUCGGCACCGCCCCAAGCGCCAUUGGACGAGGGGGUCAUCGAGGGUGGAGCUGCAGAGGGCGGAGCCAAGCAGCGCCUUCGCCCCUUCCGGCCCGCGGGGGCCGGGCCUGAGCAGGGCCUGGCUGGUGGGGGGAGGAGAAGGUUGGGGAGGGGCGAGGACCCCCGAAAUGCUGACCCUGUACUGAGCCCGUGGCACUGGUGGUCUCGGGCGGAGUUUGAGGGGCUGCGGGACGCACUUAUGGGCACAAUGGACCUCAUCUCCGGGGACGACUCCCGUGGUCAGGGCGAGAGGCUCCGAAGGUGUUCCGCAUCUCUGCAGGCUCAGCACUCGGCUCCUCACGUCCAGACAUCACUCCAGUCUCUCAACUCUUAUUUGGCUCGUUGUUUUUGGGGUUUUCUUCGUGGGAGGGCUGAGUCAGAAUUUUGACCCCAUUUUGACAUGGAUCCAGGGGUGGCACAAGAUGGGAUCCGAUGGCUUCUCCUUCCCUUUUGUGUGCCAGCUACCGGGGCUGGGAGUUCCUGGCCGUGUCCCCACAGAACAACGAUGAGUCCCCCAGCAUGUACCUGCAGCUGCUGCUCACCUCCUAUGGCCCUGCUGACACCCAAGUGUCAGUGACGCUCCGUGGCGGCUCCAUCACCUGGAACAUCACCCUGAGGCCAGAUGUCACUGUGCCCUUGCCCUUUCCUGCUAGCCUGGAAUGCGCUGGAAGCCACACUUCCCAUAAAACCUUGGUGGUCGAGGCCAGUGCUCUGUGACGUCUGUCAGCACCAAUGGCUACACUGUGGGUGCCACUGCCCUCCUGCCUAUGGAGAGCCUGGGCACCAGGUACUAUGCGGCGACACCGGUUGGGAACUAAACUUACGGCCUGACUGAGUUGUGGUAGCCACCGACCCCACCACCAUCACUAUUAGCAUCACCACCAGCACCACUUUCCACUAUGCUGGGGCCACAUACGUCCCCAUUGCUGUGCUCCACCUAUUCCUGCAGCCCUAGCAUAGCCUGCAGCUCCAGAGCAGCCAGGACUUCACUGGCACAGUUGUGGUGGCCGACACCCCUGUGGCCAUCCUCAGUGGCCACGCCUGUGUCAAGGUAUCUGUUGGCUUUGACUUUGUGGUGGAGCAGUUCCUCCCAAAGACAGUGUGGGGGAGGAGCUACGUGGUGCCACCCAACCCACUGCAGACAGAGGCUGACUUCGUUUAUGUGGUGACGGAUGAAGACAACACCAUCAACUACAGCACCGGGAGCAGGAAUGCCACUGUGGCCGUGGCGGCAGGGGAGGUGCAGAUGUUUGUGGUGAACUGUGGGGUGCAGAGGUUCAGGGACAUCACACCAUAACCAAUAUGAUCCAGUGAAGCCAAAUUUAUUAUUCCUAAAAGGGCUAUAUUUAUAAUAAGUUUCUACUGUUUACGCGUCUAUAGCUAAUACAUGAUUGGUUAAUCCUAGAUGUUCACGCGUCUAAAAUAGAAUGCUGAUUGGAUCAGCUAAUUUUUCA